rnacentral:rRNA from 1 species
AAUGAACGCUGGCGGCAGGCCUAACACAUGCAAGUCGAACGGUAACAGGAAGAAGCUUGCUUCUUUGCUGACGAGUGGCGGACGGGUGAGUAAUGUCUGGGAAACUGCCUGAUGGAGGGGGAUAACUACUGGAAACGGUAGCUAAUACCGCAUAACGUCGCAAGACCAAAGAGGGGGACCUUCGGGCCUCUUGCCAUCGGAUGUGCCCAGAUGGGAUUAGCUAGUAGGUGGGGUAACGGCUCACCUAGGCGACGAUCCCUAGCUGGUCUGAGAGGAUGACCAGCCACACUGGAACUGAGACACGGUCCAGACUCCUACGGGAGGCAGCAGUGGGGAAUAUUGCACAAUGGGCGCAAGCCUGAUGCAGCCAUGCCGCGUGUAUGAAGAAGGCCUUCGGGUUGUAAAGUACUUUCAGCGGGGAGGAAGGGAGUAAAGUUAAUACCUUUGCUCAUUGACGUUACCCGCAGAAGAAGCACCGGCUAACUCCGUG